AAAUAUUCAUUCAUCUAGAUAAGACCAUAACGCCAUAUCGUUCACACAGCAGCAACUAUAAAAACCAACACCUCAAAAAGCAUCUCACUUCCCGAGCUCAUCCAUAAUUAAGAGGUUAACAAAUUUCCCAUGGAGACCAUGAUUACGCUGGAGAAAGAGGCUUUAGAUGAAGUUGCACGGAGCUCACUCAUAGCGAUCUCUCAGUCUAUUCCAGAGAUGAUCCUCCCAUUCACCGCUCCAUCAUUUACCAAGGUCAUAAUCGAUGCUAAUCUCUCCGAUAUUGCGAAGGAUACUAUUGGGACUGAAGAUUAUAGAUCCGAGCUCAUCUCAAUUUCCGACUCACACUCUGCUGAGCCUCAGCCACUCAAACCUUGAGCGUGAAAACUUAAAAUGUAAAAUUAAUUAGUCAUGCAAAUUCCCGCAGCACUUUUGUACAGAGCAUGCUUUCCUGUAGUCUAGCUCCAGGAUGAGGGUGUAGAUCAAACCUCAUUUCCGAUGAGGAGCGCCGGCGAGGAGCUCCGACGAGCUCGAUGUCGACGCAGGCGAAGCUGGAGGCGUAGCCCAGGUGAGCUUCGAUGGUCGCAGGCGAGCUCGAGCUCUGCGUUCGAACCCCGACCUCUGCGUUCGCCCCCCCUUUGAACUCUGAGUUCGUUCGACCUCGGCGUUUUGUUCGACCUCUGCGUUCGGCUCGGAUUUGGCGUCGAAGCGGACGCUGGCGACAGGCUGUCGCCAGCUCUCCACAUCCGCCUAUAAA